rnacentral:rRNA from 1 species
UACGAAGGGGGCUAGCGUUGUUCGGAAUUACUGGGCGUAAAGCGCACGUAGGCGGAUAUUUAAGUCAGGGGUGAAAUCCCGGGGCUCAACCCCGGAACUGCCUUUGAUACUGGGUAUCUCGAGUCCGAGAGAGGUGAGUGGAAUUCCGAGUGUAGAGGUGAAAUUCGUAGAUAUUCGCAAGAACACCAGUGGCGAAGGCGGCUCACUGGCCCGGAACUGACGCUGAGGUGCGAAAGCGUGGGGAGCAAACAGG